rnacentral:rRNA from 1 species
ACACGUAGGAGCCAAGCGUUAUCCGAAUUCACUGGGCGUAAAGCGCGUGCAGGCGGUGCGAUAAGUUGGAUGUGAAAGCUCCCGGCUCAACUGGGAGAGGCCGUUCAAUACUGUUGCACUAGAGGACGGCAGAGGGAGGUGGAAUUCCCGGUGUAGUGGUGAAAUGCGUAGAUAUCGGGAGGAACACCAGUGGCGAAGGCGGCCUUCUGGGCCGUUACUGACGCUCAGACGCGAAAGCUAGGGGAGCGAACGGGAUUAGAAACCCCGGUAGUCCUAGCCGUAAACGAUGUAGACUUGGUGUAGGUGGUGUAAAAGCCAUCUGUGCCGAAGCAAACGCGAUAAGUCUACCGCCUGGGGACUACGGCCGCAAGGUUAAA